GACUCUCGGCAAUGGAUAUCUCGGCUCUCGCAUCGAUGAAGAACGUAGCGAAAUGCGAUACUUGGUGUGAAUUGCAGAAUCCCGUGAACCAUCGAGUCUUUGAACGCAAGUUGCGCCCGAAGCCACUAGGCCGAGGGCACGCCUGCCUGGGCGUCA
rnacentral:rRNA from 1 species